rnacentral:rRNA from 1 species
AGCGAACGCUGGCGGCAGGCUUAACACAUGCAAGUCGAGCGGGCAUCUUCGGAUGUCAGCGGCAGACGGGUGAGUAACACGUGGGAACGUACCCUUCGGUUCGGAACAACUCUGGGAAACUGGAGCUAAUACCGGAUACGCCCUUAUGGGGAAAGGUUUACUGCCGAAGGAUCGGCCCGCGUCUGAUUAGCUGGUUGGUGGGGUAACGGCCUACCAAGGCGACGAUCAGUAGCUGGUCUGAGAGGAGGAUCAGCCACACUGGGACUGAGACACGGCCCAGACUCCUACGGGAGGCAGCAGUGGGGAAUAUUGGACAAUGGGCGCAAGCCUGAUCCAGCCAUGCCGCGUGAGUGAUGAAGGCCUUAGGGUUGUAAAGCUCUUUUGUCCGGGACGAUAAUGACGGUACCGGAAGAAUAAGCCCCGGCUAACUUCGUG